rnacentral:lncRNA from 1 species
GCAAAACAAGGCUUUUACCAAACAUAUUGUUGAUGCCUUAAUGAAAUCUUGUGAGGAAAAACUUGAGUUGGAAGUUUCUAUACCUAGAAAAAUUUAUGAUGAGUGGGAACCUACUAUAAAAAAUAAAAUUAAAGAUCAUGAAUGCUAUGAUUUUGUGGCACCCCGGCUCAGAGAAAACCGGAACGCCCCGUAUUCUAGCCCAGAGAUCGAGGAGAAGUCUUCUGGAAUAUGGCACUGCUUAGCAUAGAACAAACCAGCCUUCUAUUAUUACAUGAAUAUGAAUACAAGGUAUCCGAUAUUACAAUGAAUAACAUUGGUACGGCGACACUACGCCAUCCUUAGUUGCUCUAUGCAAGAAGCAGAACAACUCGAAGCAGUGGAAGAACUCUAGCAGCGAAACAACGACGACAGUGGUGAACUCCACUCCGCAGGGACUCUGGCUGGAACGCUUAUCCUAGCUCGCACGAACGGAAACCACGAUAAGCAAGCAAUCAAAUCCGGCAUGACCUGCAAGCUGGCAUGACACGCCAAGUCAGUACAUUGAAUGUACUUGCAAGCUCACAAUAAUCCAGAAGCAUUCAAGACAGACAACAACAUGGCAAUUACAGGUAAAACAGGAAUUAACAUGAGAUCAUCAGAAUAACAUGGCAUGACCAACAUGAUACAACUAACACAACAUGAACAUAUUAAUCCGACAAUACUAGCAUGCAACAUGAUGACACUAUAUGCACCACUUAUCCCGCUCGGGUUACCUCGUAACCAACACAUGCAUCACUUACCAACCUCGGACAUCACGUGAUCAUCUCAGGAUCAAAUCGAGCUUGGUAUGAACAAUACCGUAGUGAUCAUUAAAUGACCACAAGGAGCUUGAUCUUUACCCACGACUCUCACACAACAUCACGAAUAUCUCGAUACCACGGUGAUCCUUCCUCGUGUGGCCACACAUCCAUCUCAACAUACGCAUCUUCGCCACACCUAACUGUUGAACAUGUCGCCUUUUAGUCGGCCAACACUCCGCGCCAUACAACAUUGCGGGUCGAACCGCCGUCCUGUAGAACUUGCCUUUUAGCUUUUGUGGCACUCUCUUGUCACAAACCUUACCCCCUUAAAUAAAUCUCGUCCUCGAGAUUUGGUUGCUCAGGGAACAAGUAUGAAUGUUCUGACUUAAGGAACCCGUUUCCAACUCGGGUAUCCUUUUUCCUUUAUUGUUGUUCCCAUUAAAUUUUUAUCUGACUGGCCAUGGGGUGGUUUGCUUUACUGUAUCCACAUUCUGACAGAUCUUACCUGGCCUGCUCAUGCUUAUAUAGGCUCCAAUUUCUUUUUAGAUCUGCUGACUAGCUGAGUGUGAUUUAAUUAUCACGACUGAAAUAUAUGUCCAUCUCACAAAUACAAAAGUAAUUUCCACUGGGUGUGCCACCCGACACUGACAACCUUUCAUGUAAUGAUGAUCAGUAUUUUCUGAUGAAAACUCAAGCUCUGACUCAUUGCAUUGGGUUUCUCCACUAAAUGCAUGUCCUUUGGGUUCCAAACAGUGAGUUAAAACAUAACCGUCUCCUGAUAGAUUCUGACUCAUCGCAGAAGUUUCUGAAUCAUUUUAACUGGUUCCAUUGUCGUGUGUAUCGGAUCCGUACCAAAUAUUUGAUUGUCUCCUGUCGCGGCCAGCAUUAAGGGUUUGGCCUGUAUGAUAAUAUCUGCAGACUUGGCUGACGGUGGUUCUGACGAUAAACUUUUGUUCACGACAGGCUAUCCACGAUGAUUCAUAUAAGUGAGUACUCUGGCUUCCAGACUGUUAUUCCUCAUGCCGAUUACUCAUGUUGUAGGCAUAUCCAUGUGGAUCAAUACUGACUUAGACUAUCCGGGAAUCUGCACCACGGGGUCAUGCAACAAUUUUCAUACCUGCAUCACUGGUCUUGCUCCUUCAUUAUUAUUUUCUUGGUCUGGAUCCUUGGCUGAAAGAGCUGGGCCAUAUUGUUUCUUCGUAUGACCAUAGAUACUGUCGGUGCAUUUUUUUGCAAUUGUAGUUUAUCCUCAUUUUUCUGAUAAGGUAACCCAUUAAAUGGCAGGUUCAACACCUCUCAAGUUCUGAUCGUUGGGAAAUGAUCAUCUGAAACCCUUGCAAGAAAUCGGCAAAUCAAUCAGUAGCCACCAGAACGGUCUUUACAACUUAGAUCUGGGACAUUACUGAAAUAACUCAACCACGGCUCAGGAUGGCCGAAAAACAGCUCAGAGCAUGAGACCGGGUCGAUAAGAAGAAGGUGGCAGCUCCCUAAAAUAGCCAAAAAGCAGCUAUAGGGCUACUGUCACAAAAAGAAACUCAACAGUUGUACGAGAUGGCCGAAAAGCAGGUCAGACUUGUGAUAGUCGUUGAAGAGAGAAACAAAAAUCGGCAUCCACCCCGGAUAGCUAGAAACAGCUCAGAUCACAGGCGUGGUGCCGUCAUUGGAGAAAAGGGGACAAGGGCUCAUCAGGAUCAUUUUCCAGUUCAUGGGUACUUGUAUUGAGCUCAUUGAUGUCGUCAAUCCUCAUAAUCCUUUGUCACACUGCGGUGUAUAUUGUCUUUCUUCUCUUAAUCAUCCUCACGUGGUUAUCAGAUCCUCAUCCGAGUGACUUGUAAGAUCUUGAUGGUAUGCUCAUUGCAUAUAUUUGAGGACCUGAUUCCAAGACAGACGUGUAUUCUGGCUGAUUCUUGAUUCUGACCAAAAUGUUACCGAUCUGAUUCUUGGGAUUCAUUGCCAUAUGCUGUCAAUUCAUAGUGUACUCCCUUGUACCAAUGUCUUACUGAGGAAUAUUUGCUGGCUUGUGCUCGAAACUUUCAUCGGACAGCUUGCUGAAGAAGAUUGGUUAUCGUGGUUUAGAAGCUUACCCCCUUAAAGACUUUGCUGUGGAAAGACUCAGUACCUUAUGCCGGAAGUUUUUGCGGUUGCUUACUGAAAAAGGCAGAGUACCUUGUACGAAAAAUCAACCAUGUAUCAUACUGAGGAAGAUAGAUGAAUCUAGCCUUGGAAACUUCUCGGGUAUCUUGCGAGGGAAAAGUGGGUUGCUUACACCAGAAGCUUCUUAUUGUGAUAUGCGGACCUAUUUCCACUUAUAUAACCAUCUGAAUAUUUUUGCUAUUGAUUUCUUGUAUGAAACAGGGUUUUGCAGGACUAUCCUCCUUUCUGAGUAUAUGCCAUAUUUUUGCUUGCUUCCAGGUACAUCGAGUUCCAAAAUCAUCCUCAACGAAAAAUUAAACUUGUAUCUGAGCCAUACCUUUGAUAAUAUUCUGUCAACCUUGCACACAAUUUAUCUUCCUGCUGAUUUAAUCAUUUUGUUGUGAUGGGUGCAUGCUAAUGCAAACUUGAUACUGACGGCCCAUCCAGUAUUUCUUUUGCAUUCAGACGAGAUAUUCCAAUUUUCAUUGCAGUCAGCUGAUAAUUCCAUUCUGUUUAACUGAGUUUCCAAAUAUAUGCAUUUCUUGCUGACUCUUCGGGUCCAGUGUCGGCUAACGAGUAACUUUAAUAGGGAAAAAAUUGUAACACUGAAGGCCAAAGAAAGGAACAACAGAAACGACUAAAACAAAAGCACACAAGCAUUCUACUAAUAUAAUUAAUCAAGCAAUCAUCACAUAUUACUGCUACUCACACAAUAAUAUGCGUGCACAUCUAAGCACACAAAUCUCGCGGGAUCUCCGGUUCGACGAUCUAGCAUGUUGUGACGAUGUGCACGAGGACGAAUAAAUGUGUGGAAGAAUUGGUGUAAACAGCGCUACACCAAGUGCUAGCUUAGCCAGAUAGCAACCUGGACUAGCUCGGAGGAGAGGACAUACUUGGUAAUCAUGUAGUGGGGCACGAAGGUUGUAACCACAUUAUUAUCAAGCGGGCGGAAAAAGAUUCAUACUCGUCCUAGAAAUAGGAUAGCAGGGAAAAACUAAGGCUGCUGACAUUGCCCUUUCUUGAAAAUUGAGAUCGUUCAGGGUUGCCAACACGACAGAAUAAAAGAACGAUCCGGGAUAGAAGCAUGUCCAUCACCGAAACGAUAGGCGAGACUGAAAGAAAGACAUCGGCGUGAUACCUGAGCACCAUUUUUGCAAACAGUGUCGGGAUCACUUGGCAUCACUCUGCUGGGACAGAAAUGACACCAAACACCAAAGGAAAAAGGAACUGGAGAAAUGCAAAGGUUGAGCUGUAGUGGAUCUGGACCGAUGCCAGCUACACUCACCAGAUAAACCGUUAGUACAAAUACUAAGUCUAUAUGCAUGCUAUGCGACAAACAAAUGCAGCAAUCAAGUGCAAUAAACCAACUGGGUCUAUACUAUCGCUUUCUAACGUUCGCGCGGUCUAGGGCGUCCUAUAGCCAGACCUGCUCUGAUACCAAGCCUGUGGCACCCCGGCUCAGAGAAAACCAGAAUGCCCCGUAUUCCAGCCCAGAGAUCGAGAAGAAGUCUUCUGGAAUACGGUACUGCUUAGCAUAGAACAAACCAGCCUUCUAUUAUUACACGAAUAUGAAUACAAGGUCUCCGAUAUUACAAUGAAUAACAUCGGUACGGUGACACUACACCAUCCUCAGUUGCUCUAUGCAAGCAGUAGAACAACUCGAAGCAGCGGAAGAACUCUAGCAGCGGAACAACAAUGACGAUGGUGAACUCCACUCCGUAGGGACUCUGGCUGGAACGCUUAUCCUAGCUCGCACGAACGGAAACCACGACAAGCAAGCAAUCAAAUCCGGCAUGACCUGCAAGCUGGCAUGACACGCCAGGUCAGUACAUUGAAUGUACUUGCAAGCUCACAAUAAUCCAGGAGCAUUUAAGACAGAGAACAGCAGGGCAAUUACAGGUUAAACAGGAAUUAACAUGAGAUCAUCAGAAUAACAUGGCAUGACCAACAUGAUACAGCUAACACAAGAUGAACAUAUUAAUCCGACAAUACUAACAUGCAACAUGAUGACACUAUAUGCACCACUUAUCCUGCUCGGGUUACCUCGUAACCAACACAUGCAUCACUUACCAACCUCGGAC